rnacentral:misc_RNA from 1 species
GAUGAAGAACGUAGUGAAAUGCGAUAAGUAAUGUGAAUUGCAGAAUUCAGUGAAUCAUCGAAUCUUUGAACGCACAUUGCGCCCCCCAGUAUUCUGGCGGGCAUGCCUGUUCGAGCGUCAUUUCAACCAUCAAGCCCUGCUUGUGUUGGGGUCCUGCGGCUGCCCGCAGGCCCUGAAAACCAGUGGCGGGCUCGCUAGUCACACCGAGCGCAGUAGCACAUCUCGCUCAGGGCGUGCGGCGGGCUCCAGCCGUUAAAGCACCCACCUUUCGCAAGGUUGACCUCGGAUCAGGUAGGAAUACCCGCUGAACUUAAGCAUAUCAAUAAGCGGAGAA